CUGUGUCUCUUGAGCUCACAGACAGUAGAAGCAACAGAGUAUUAGCACAUUUUAGAUAAGUACAAGAUUUGUCAAGUCAAACAAUAUAUGGUCUGGUUCUUACCUAACAUCUUUUUCUUCACUUCUAGUCCUUAAAGAUGUUGAAACAGGCUCGGUGCGGUAGCUCACGCCGGUAACCCCAGCACUUUAGGAGGCCAAGGGACAGCAGACAGCAGCUUGUGGUUGGUCAGGAGAUGCUAGAAGACUGGAGGAGAGCUCCUGAUGGGGCAGCGAUGAGCAGAGGCUUGUGGACUGGACCUGUGUGGUUUCGUAGCGAUGAUAAGGAAACUAAACUGGAUUAAGUGCUAUCAUCUUGGAGGGUGCCAAAGGCAAACAAGGAGAAAGAAGUGAUUGAAGAGCACUUCAGAAAGCCUGGUACAUUUCAAAUCAGCAGGGGCUUGAUUACUCGCAUCCCAGGGACACUUAAGUGAAUUGGCAAAUAUAAUUGCAAGACCACCAGCCUUUAUUUUAGAAAAUGAAGGUUGGACAGAAGAAGGUCCUGACAAGUUAGAAUCAGGCAGAUGGAGUACCUGUUUUUUAAAACAGGGAAAAGACAGCUGUAGUAAUUAUAGACUAUUCAGCUUAUCUUGGAUACCUGGGAAGAUACAAGAGCAAAUCAUCAAACAAAUCAAUUUGCAACCACCUAGAAGGAGCACAAGGGUACUGGGUCGUAAUCAACAUGAUUUUGUGAAGUGCAAAUUAUGCCACACCAAUUUAAUUUUAUCUAUGGUAGAGUGAUGAGCCUGGCAGAAGAGGGCAAAGAAAUAUCUACAACCGGACUUCAAUAAGGUUUUCUAUUUUUAUUUAAAAUAUUCCAUUUCCUGGCAUUUCAGCAUCAACCUUCUGAGAGGAUGCUAUCUGAACAGCAGUUGGGAAUAUUGAUCUCAGCGUUACUUUGACCAUUAAUGAAUUAUGAUGGCAAUAAGCAAAGAUGCGCACCUCUAGCCUCCAGGGAGCUUAAUCUUCUGCUACAACGUUUGCAUUUGUAAGUCAGCACCUGUGUAAUCUAUAUUCUAUUUGUUAUUCUCCUUUAAUUACCUAUUGGUAGUGGUCCAUUUGCAGGCUGGGAGCAACCAACUGGAGCAUCAAAAAGAUUAUUAAAAUAUUGACUUUAAAUUAAAAGGCCAAAAAGAAACAAGACAGGGUUUGUUUCUACCCAUUCCGUUAUGAUGGUUCAGGAACAAUUAUUUCCUUUCAUCUCAAGUUUCAAGAAUUGUGCAAGGAACUCCCAAAUGCCCUUUACAUUCAUUCAUUAUUUAUAUCUUGCCCCACUUGCUGUGUUCUUUGUAUUAUCUAUGUAAUCCAUAGUUCAAAUGUAAAUUCAGAUUUUCUCAAUUGUUAAAAUGAUGUCCCAAUAAUUAAUUAUAAACGAAUUUUUUCCCCAGAUUAGGAUCCAGUGUAGGAUCAUGCCUUGUACUGAGUUCCCAUGUCUCCUUUGUUCCUUUAAUAUGGAGAAAUUUCUCUGCCUUAGUUUUCUU